GUUUUUUUAAAGAAAAUAUUGAGAAAAAAUAUAGUCAUGUUUAUAAUAGGAAGUAAUUUAAAGGGACACUAUAGGCACCAAACAAAUUAACCCAUUAAGCUUAAUCCGUUAAAGACCAAGGAUCAUUUUAGAUGCAACCUGCUUAUGACCAAGGACUUUUUGUCACAUUUGUCAUGCAUUAAUUCUUCCACAAUUUCAUAAUUUCUAUUUCUGUACCCUUAAAGACUGUCAUGCAGUCCUUAACAGGUUAAUGGAAUGGUUUUGGUCUAUAGAUCAUGCCCCACAUAUAGUCUCACUGCUCAAUUCUCUGCCAUUUAGGAGCUAAAUCACUCUGUUUAUGCAGCCAUAGUCACACCUCCCUGCAUGUGACUUACUCAGCCUUCCUAAAAACUUCCUGUAAAAAGAGAUCUAAUGUUUAUACUUAAUUUAUUGUGUAUUCGGUUUAAUUUAGAAUUUCCUCUGCUCUCCUGCUCUGUUAAAAGCCCUCUAGAUCCUGAGGGAGCCUACUGUGUGUGAUUGAAGUCCAAUGUAUAGAACAGGAGAUUUAAAACUUCUAAAGCAAGUGAUUGUAAAUGAAACCAUUUUUUUUUCACACAGCUUGUGUGAGUCACAUGGGUGGGUGGUGCUGUUAGGGCUGCAUAAACAUAAACAAAAGUGAUUUAACUCCUAAAUGGCAUAGAGUUGAUCAAUGGGAUUGCAGAGGCAUGAUUCAUACACCAAAACUCCUUCAUUAAAAAGUUGUUUUGAUGUCUAUAGUGCAUCUUUAAUAUUGGCAGAUCACAAUAUAAAGUAUAUUUUUUAAGGUAUAAAUUAAAGUGUGCAUUUUUAAAAUCCUUCUGGUCACUUACAAUAAUUACUUACAAUUAUACACUAAAACACUAGAGUACUAUGUAAGUGUUCAAUUAAAAUGGCUUCAAUGGUUUUAAAGGUUCAUUGUACUUUUUUAAAAGAAUAUAGAUCAAUACAGUUAAUAGGUUAUUCUUUUUCCCAUUUUUCAGACUUUUCUGCAUAUGUUUAGCAGUUUAUCUGCCACAAAUUAUUUAAAUAUAAUGAGCUCUGCACCACUGCAGCAUUCAUAAAAAAGAUAAGAAUGAAGGAUAUCACGAUAGACUGACUUAGCUUCAUAAGAACUUUUUUCCACAGCAGAUGCAAGGUCAAUGGCUCCUUCCAAUAAAUAUAUGUAUAGUUAUUAUUUUGGUACACUUUAAUUUAUUAAUAAGAUGCUUUUGAUUUGUUAAAUGAGUUUUAGACUGAAUGUUAUCCCUACACAGUGCCUCAUCAUGUUAUAUUACUGGUAUUAUCAAUGAAAUAAAAUGUAUUAAGUACAUGUAUAUUAUACCAUAUACUAGUGACAUUUUAACUGUUUUAGUGCCAAGUGAGUUUUUAAGUAUUGCUCAAAGAUUUAUAUUUUUCCAGUAGGUUUUUGCAAUAAGAAAAAAAAUAAAUAAAAAAA